AGGCUUUGCUUGGUGGUGAGAGUGGCGAACGGGUGAGUAAUGCGUGACCGACCUGCCCCAUACACCGGAAUAGCUCCUGGAAACGGGUGGUAAUGCCGGAUGCUCCGACUCCUCGCAUGGGGUGUCGGGAAAGAUUUCAUCGGUAUGGGAUGGGGUCGCGUCCUAUCAGGUAGUCGGCGGGGUAACGGCCCACCGAGCCUACGACGGGUAGCCGGCCUGAGAGGGCGACCGGCCACAUUGGGACUGAGAUACGGCCCAGACUCCUACGGGAGGCAGCAGUAGG
rnacentral:rRNA from 1 species